GGAUAACCCUGAUUUCCAUAUGCAGAUUUAUCUGCACUGACAGCCCCCUCUCCCUCUCUUAGUCUUUCUGUUUCCUCUCUCCCUCCCUCUCUCUCCCUCUUUCUCUUCCCCUCUCUUUCUCUUCCUCUCUGUCUUUUUGUCUCUCUUUAUGUCUAUUGCAUUAUGCUUGAAUAAUUUUCAGCUGGUUUUUUUUUUUUUCUUUCCUCUCGCACGCACAUGCUAAAAUAACUAGACAAAGAUGCAAGGUGGUUGCUGCAGUCCCUGUCUCUAGGACAAAACCAAGAAAGCUCGGGAUUGCAAUGCCACCUUUCCUUUUUUUUUUUUUCUUUUUCUUUUUUUUUUUCCCCACCCAUGCUCGGUGAUUAAACUUACCCAGGAUGGGGAAGAAAAAGGAGCUGGAAAUUAAAUAGGGUUAAGGAAAAAGCCCAUUGCAGCAGCUGCAGCCAGUGGUGUCUGCUGCCAGAUGUGCUAAGGUUCCUAGGGUCCUUGACACUAAAAGGCAGUAUUAAAAUAUUUGGAGACAAAAGCUGCAUCUUCAGUGAUCAUUUUCUUUAUUUAACAUGGCAGCAAGCACCAUGUGGGGGAAAAUCAACACGCUGGAUGUUCAAUUGGACUUUUCUCCUUUCUAGGAUGAAAGGAUGUUAUCUAUCCCGUGCCAAGAGGGAACUGAGAGCAAUGAACAUGUGGCUGUUACUAUCAGCACUAGUGUAUUGGCGGCGAUGCCUAUCAACAUCCACCAGAGAGCAGGGCAGCUCCAAAACCCACAUCUUUUAUGCUGUGGAAAUUGAUGGAGACAGCAACACAGCCAGCUUCUUGGCCAAACAACAUGGAAUGCAGUUCAUUUCAAAGGAAGAGAGAGUGGCAUCAACAGCAUGCCCCUGUGUCUGGAAGACAUUGCUCGAUGGAAGAACAGUCUGUUAGACUCCCCAUGGGCAUGAUGGAAGGGAUCCCGGUGAGGAAAGAAAAUAUUUCCAGGAACUGAAGGAAUGGUUAUAGCAUCUCUAAAGAGGACAUUUGCCUGUGACUGAUAAAUAGAAAGGAAGCUUUCUGCCACUGUAGGUUGUGCUGAAGACUGCACCUUUUCCUGCCAGGUAUGGAAUUUGCUACAGUAAUUCAAGGCUUGUUGAUCAUUGUGUUGGAUUACUUCUGGCUCUCCUACUUGGAGUUGUCAGCUGAAAAGCGCAGAAACAUCAGGUGUUAAAGCCUGAUGAAAUUUCUAAGUAGCAUAAAGUAGAGCGCAGCCUGUUAUUUAGAUGUGUCAGCAGCAAAUAGCAUCAAAAUAUCUUCAAGGACGUGGUCAUUCUCUACAGACCUCCUGCUGGGUGAGAACCUUUGGGAUAGAGCCCCUGUGACACCCCCAUGCAUAAUACUUUCAAGUAAGGACUGAAUCCUUUUAGUGGAGAUUCUUUGGACUGAAAAUAUGGGUAGGAUUUGCCAGCAGGUAAUGGGAAUGCCCCUUUUUGCAUACCACUUCCUCCAGGACAGUGACAUCUCUUCCAUCCAUUACAUUCCUCUGCAAUCCACAUACUUUUCAAAAAUAAUUAUGUUUCUACCAGCACUUAUAAUUAGGUUUCAGUAUGGUAUUUGAUGUAUGUUGUAUUAUGAUAUUUUCCCUGUAAAUUCUUAUGUAUGCAUUUAUUUUCAUGAUACUUCAAUAAAAACAUCAAAAUUGAAAUUCA
rnacentral:lncRNA from 1 species